rnacentral:rRNA from 1 species
UGGGGAAUAUUGGACAAUGGGCGAAAGCCUGAUCCAGCCAUGCCGCGUGUGUGAAGAAGGUUUUCGGUUUGUAAAGCACUUUAAGUUGGGAGGAAGGGCAGUAAGCGAAUACCUUGCUGUUUUGACGUUACCGACAGAAUAAGCACCGGCUAACUCUGUGCCAGCAGCCGCGGCAAUACAGAGGGUGCAAGCGUUAAUCGGAAUUACUGGGAGUAAAGCGCGCGUAGGUGGUUCGUUAAGUUGAAUGUGAAAGCCCCGGGCGCAACCUGGGAAAUGCAUCCAAGACUGGCGAGCUAGAGUAGGGCAGAGGGGGGUGGAAUUUCCUGUGUAGCGGUGAAAUGCGUGGAGAUAGGAGGGAACACCAGUGGGGAAGGCGACCACCUGGGCUCAUACUGACACUGAGGUGCGAAAGCGUGGGGAGCAAACAGG